GUGGGGAAUAUUGGACAAUGGGGGCAACCCUGAUCCAGCCAUGCCGCGUGAAUGAUGAAGGCCUUCGGGUUGUAAAGUUCUUUUGGAGGGGACGAUGAUGACGGUACCCUCAGAAUAAGCUCCGGCUAACUUCGUGCCAGCAGCCGCGGUAAUACGAAGGGAGCUAGCGUUGUUCGGAAUUACUGGGCGUAAAGGGCGCGUAGGCGGUUUGGUUAGUCAGAUGUGAAAGCCCAGGGCUUAACCCUGGAACUGCGUUUGAUACUGCCAAGCUUGAAUUCGGGAGAGGUGAGUGGAAUUCCCAGUGUAGAGGUGAAAUUCGUAGAUAUUGGGAAGAACACCGGUGGCGAAGGCGGCUUGCUGGACAGUAACUGACGUUGAGGCUCGAAAGCGUGGGGAGCAAACAGGAUUAGAUACCCGGGUAGUCC
rnacentral:rRNA from 1 species